ACUACCUUCAUUACGUCUAUCAAAAAUAGGUUCCUAGUGAAUCAGUGAUGACUUAGUAUGUUUAAAACAGUACCUCAAAAUGGUUUAAUAUGCAUUUCUUUGAUUACUAGAGUCAUUGCUUCAGGCUGCCACAGAGCCACUUGAAAGUUUUAAUGGAGUUACAAAAUUACACUGAUAUGGGAAUUUCCAUUUGAAUAGUGUUUCCACCAAAGAUUUCUCUUUCUUUCAUCUCCCACAGGAACCAACAGAGUACACAGUCACUGAGGGUUUUGAAUCUCUCUUUCAAAAGCCUCCUACAAGGCCGGGGAUUUAGAUCAAUGAUUCUGCCACCUGCCUCUCAAGCACAAGGACCCAAGUUCGAUCCUUGGCACCUCCGUCUGUCAGCUGAAAUUAGGGAUGCCUGGCUCCAGGCUCUGCAGACUCCGAAGAACACCACGGCUGGGCUUGUGAUGGAGCAGGGCUGAGAAAAACUGGAGCUACAGGAACAGGCAUAAUUUCCAUUUCCAUCAACCCUGAAGAAAAUGAAAACACUGGGCAGGACACAACUUCUGAAAAUAGCCGAAUGCAGAGACAGCAGUUUGGGGCAACUCCAGAUAAAGUUGCUGUGGACCUCAUGUGCAAGUCCUUGCGUGGACAUAUCCUUUCCUUUCUGUUGGGCAACUAGAUCAUAUGGUAGGUGUAUGUUUAACUUUCUCUGAAACUGUCAAACUGUUUUCCAAAGUGUUGGUACUAUUUCUAUCCCUUCUUAUGAAUGAUUUGUUUCAGCAAACAUAUUUUUAAAUUUUGUUCUUAAAUUUUUUGAUUUUUAAAGUCUUUAUUCUUGGAUUUCUCUUUUUUUUAGUGGCAAACCUGGUUUAAUAAGCCCCUCUACAUGCUCCUGCUGUGAUGACUGCCUCCCCCCAGGCCCAAAAACAACAGGGCCAACUGACCAUGGACCUGAAUCUCUGGACUGUGAACCAAAACAAACCUUUUGUCUUUAUAAGUUUAUUUUCUCAGGUAUUUGCUACAGUAACAGAAAGCUGACUAACACAUAAGUGGAAAUAGCUAUUAGGCAAUUGAAGUAAAUUAACUGAUGCUUAAAAGGCUUAGAAUUGAAUCCCAGUGGAAAUUUUAUGCAAAUAUUACAAAAGACAAUACAUUUACUGUAGAUCAGGAGUUUGAAAUUUAAUAGGUACUGAAACAAUGUUGAGCUUGAUUUGACUAAUACUUCAUGACAUAGGAAUUCACUCAGUCAAGCAUGUUUUGGCUUGGGGAGGAGUCUGAGUGCAGAAGAAAAAAGAUAGGGCUUAGUAUCUUGAAAAGGAAUCUAUUUUGCCCCUGUAAAUUGGUAAUAAGACACAGCUGACAGAAAGUGGAAGAAAAGGCAAGUACCUUAAUAGCUGCAUCUAUUGUUCUAGAUAACACCUUUUCUAUUGAAAGCUACACAAAAUAUUUAUGCAUACAGUUUUAAGAGAAAAACUGGAGUACGAGGUAGCGUUAGUAAAUGUCUUUUUGAAAUCAGGUUUGUGGUAUUUUAAAAUCUGUGAGCAUCUUCACAAAGUAAAGACAGCAAUGGAAACUGAUUGUGGUUGAGUCCCACAGCUCACCUCUAAAUCUUCGUGUAUCAUUUAGAACCCUGAACUCGUACUCCCCCAAAUCACUUUUCUGUAAUUCAUUGUUAUGGCCCAGCUUUUAAAGAUCUUCCAAAGAUGUUCCAUAAUUCCUUUAAUAAAUUGUUCUACUUUAAAAUUUACAAAAACUUAUAAACUUCUUAAAUGAUAGAGAGAUGGUAUACUAUGCUGAACUCUACAAAAAUUUCCUGUCAUCCACAACAGGAAGGAAGGAAGUAAGCAAAGAGAGAUUACAUACAGUGGGAGCUUGGUACAGUUCUCACUGUUAACUGGUUCUGGGAAGCACCCGUGAAUGCCAAAAACACAAGUGCCAAGCACAUUUGCUGUUGGUACCGACAGAUCCUAACUUGCAUGCAGCUACCGAACUUGGGGAGCACCGGAACAAAAUCUGCUCCAAAUGCUUUGAGUCCCAGAUUCAACGAGUUUCAAAGCAGUGGAGUACGAUGGUGUGACUCUUUUGGAAAGAUUGUUAGGAAGAUGAUAAUGAGAUGACUAGUUUCUAGAUUAAAAGCUUCUCACUCACGUUUUGUUUGACCUUAUCACAAUCAUUGUGGAGGUUUGGAGUUUCGACUUGAUCGGCUUUGGCAUCUUCCCUGGGGAUUGGCCAAGCACACUUCUGGAUGCAUCUGGGUGUGUCAGAGAAGCAUGGCCUUAGGGUCUGUGUUAGUCCCUCGCCCACUCUGCUCCUCUGUUCCUGGCACUGUUCCCCUCCUCUGCUGCCUGGCUCCAAGCCCUUCUGCCUUGUGUUUCUGCUUUGGAGAAUUUCUAGCAUUGACUGCAUCCUGUGAACCAUUAGCCAAGUUUAACCUGUUGCUAGAACAAAAUACCUGACAAAAACAGACAUCAAUGACUAUGAUAUUUGAUUGUUGAACAGAUAAAUGCAUCAAAGUUUAAGAAGUACUAAUUUAGUCAUUUAACAAAAAUGUAUCAAGAGGGCUGGGGAUUUAGCUCUGUGGCACCAUGCCUGCCUCGCAAGCACAAGGUCCCAAGUUCGAUCCCUGGUACCAAACAAAUAAAAAUAAAAAAGAAUCUACUUUUAUAUAAAGACUAAAGGUUGAUGUUCUUGACUUUAGUGUAAACAAUAAAAGCUCUUAGUGACCAUAGAGUUUCUGUUGAGUCAGACACUUAUAGUUAUGUAAACCAAAGUGAUGUGAGUGACUUCUUGCAGUAGCAGAUCAUUUUUUUUCACUUAACUCAGAUUAUCAAUUUAUUUUAGGCAUAGAAUUCAAUUUCCUUCCCAUAUAUUUAUGUCCUUGAAAGCUUCUAAAAGCUGCUUCCUGUUUUCCAUAUGAUAGGUGGCUGCAUUUACUGGUAGAUGACAUAUUUAUGUCAUUUGAAAAGGUCUAUGGCAUAUGAUUUGACCUUUGAGUGAAGUCAUUACAUAAAUGUCACUUGUCAUUAUUCAGCUGUGGGGGGAAAAAUAAGCUUUAAAUAUAGUCAAGUACUCCUACCUGGAACAAAAUAAUAUACUUCUUUGUUAUAAGUAAGAACGGUUAGCUUCUGCAUCCUGUACCCUACUAAGCAUGAACUUGUUGACCAUUUUAUGUUCAGUUGGUCUGUUUGUUGCGAAGCUCUGCUCACUCCUUCAUGCUGACAGUGAGUACUGUCUCACGCUGUGUUAUACUUCUCUCUUAGAGCAGCAGCAUGCUCCAGGUGGUGAGCCAAUAGCAAUGACCUCACUGAGCAGGAAGCAAAACAUCAUACAGGGAUAACAUCACAGUGAAGGAAGAAAAGGAAGAGAAGUGUAGGGCCCUUCUGUCUGCAUACAAGGACUGGAAGACACAAGGAGAGGAAAGGGUAGGGCACAUGAUGGAUACAUUUCCCACUGCACCCCGUUAUCAGAUUACAGUAGUGUCACACAUGAGGGAUUACUGCGGUUCUCUUCUGUGACAGUUGAGUGAUUGUGUCAACUUGAGAAGUCGGUUAAGCAAAGCUUGGCUAAAUGGGCUCAACAAUUCCACACCCUGGGGCAUGGAGGACUCACCCUAGGGUCCCUGGGGCCCGGAUGCUACAAAGGGGAAAUGAGGAAGGAGGCUCUGCCUCUGUUCCUUCCGAGGAGCUCCAGACUUUGCCUUGGACGUCAUCUCCUGGCUUCCAGCGCAGACUCUCCAGGUUCCGGAACAAAUCCUUCAGCUUCUGGUGCAGACUCUUCAGCCUUCCAUCCCAGACCCAUCGGCCUCGUGGUACGGGCUCGCACGGGGCACUGCAGUGAGCUCCAGGCCUUCAACUGAAUCCUAGACUCCAGUGUGCAGACAGACCCUCUGCACCCUUCCUCAUUGACUCUGUGGGCGCCAUUGUGGGCCAGUCUUGUGAAUUCAUAUACAUUUGUGCAUCUUGUGUGGUGUCUGUCCCUCGAGUACAUAUGACUGAUACGUCUUCCCAUGAGAGACAUUAUGGUUUAUCUCACCAAGUACUCAUUAAGUGAUUUUCUUUGGUAGCCUCUGUCUGAACACUAUCAUGUCAUUUCUGUAGCUCUGAGCUUAUGUUCUCCAGGAAAGCAGACAUGAGCCAUAUGUAGCCCUUUAAUUUUAAAUUGAAUAAAAUUGUAUUAAGAAUUUGUUUUCUCAGUUGCACUAGGUACAUUUCAAGUGCUCAUAUGUGGCUGUGUGGGCACAGAUAAAGUGUAUCUCAUGGGCACAGGCAAUCUUGGU
ensembl:lncRNA